GCUUACACAUGCAGUCGAGCGAGAAAGGGCUUCGGCCUGAGUAGAGCGGCGGACGGGUGAGUAACGCGUAGGAAUCUACCUAAUAGUGGGGGGAUAACGUUCCGAAAGGGGCGCUAAUACCGCAUACAUUCUGAGGAAGAAAGCUGGGGAUCGCAAGACCUGGCGCUAUUAGAUGAGCCUGCGUCCGAUUAGCUAGUUGGUGGGGUAAAGGCCUACCAAGGCGACGAUCGGUAACUGGUCUGAGAGGAUGAUCAGUCACACUGGAACUGAGACACGGUCCAGACUCCUACGGGAGGCAGCAGUGGGGAAUAUUGGACAAUGGGCGCAAGCCUGAUCCAGCCAUGCCGCGUGUGUGAAGAAGGCCUUUGGGUUGUAAAGCACUUUAAGCGGGGAGGAAGGCUCGAGCGUUAAUAGCGUUCGGGAUUGACGUUACCCGAAGAAUAAGCACCGGCUAACUACGUGCCAGCAGCCGCGGUAAUACGUAGGGUGCAAGCGUUAAUCGGAAUUACUGGGCGUAAAGCGUGCGCAGGCGGCUAUGCAAGACAGAUGUGAAAUCCCCGGGCUCAACCUGGGAACUGCAUUUGUGACUGCAUAGCUGGAGUACGGUAGAGGGGGAUGGAAUUCCGCGUGUAGCAGUGAAAUGCGUAGAUAUGCGGAGGAACACCGAUGGCGAAGGCAAUCCCCUGGACCUGUACUGACGCUCAUGCACGAAAGCGUGGGGAGCAAACAGGAUUAGAUACCCUGGUAGUCCACGCCCUAAACGAUGUCAACUGGUUGUUGGACGGCUUGCUGUUCAGUAACG
rnacentral:rRNA from 1 species